rnacentral:rRNA from 1 species
UCCAGACUCCUACGGGAGGCAGCAGUGGGGAAUAUUGCACAAUGGGGGAAACCCUGAUGCAGCGACGCCGCGUGAGCGAUGAAGUAUUUCGGUAUGUAAAGCUCUCUCAGCAGGGAAGAAAAUGACGGUACCUGACUAAGAAGCCCCGGCUAACUACGUGCCAGCAGCCGCGGUAAUACGUAGGGGGCAAGCGUUAUCCGGAUUUACUGGGUGUAAAGGGAGCGUAGACGGCAUGGCAAGUCAGAUGUGAAAGCCCGGGGCUCAACCCCGGGACUGCAUUUGAAACUGUCAGGCUGGAGUGCAGGAGAGGUAAGUGGAAUUCCUAGUGUAGCGGUGAAAUGCGUAGAUAUUAGGAGGAACACCAGUGGCGAAGGCGGCUUACUGGACUGUAACUGACGUUGAGGCUCGAAAGCGUGGGGAGCAAACAGGAUUAGAUACCUGGGUAA